UACAGAGGUCCCGAGCGUUGUUCGGAUUCACUGGGCGUAAAGGGUGCGCAGGUGGGUUGGCAAGUUUGAUGUGAAAGCCCCGGGCUUAACCCGGGAAUGGCAUUGAAUACUGCUGAUCUGGAGGAUUGGAGGGGGGACUGGAAUUCUUGGUGUAGCAGUGAAAUGCGUAGAUAUCAAGAGGAACACCAGUGGCGAAGGCGAGUCCCUGGACAAUACCUGACACUGAGGCACGAAAGCUAGGGGAGCAAACGGG
rnacentral:rRNA from 1 species